GAACUUAGCAGAGAUGCUUUGGUGCCCUUCGGGAACUCUGAGACAGGUGCUGUAUGGCUGUCGUCAGCUCGUGUUGUGAAAUGUUGGGUUAAGUCCCGCAACGAGCGCAACCCUUAUCCUUUGUUGCCAGCGAUUCGGUCGGGAACUCAAAGGAGACUGCCAGUGAUAAACUGGAGGAAGGUGGGGAUGACGUCAAGUCAUCAUGGCCCUUACGAGUAGGGCUACACACGUGCUACAAUGGCGCAUACAAAGAGAAGCGACCUCGCGAGAGCAAGCGGACCUCAUAAAGUGCGUCGUAGUCCGGAUUGGAGUCUGCAACUCGACUCCAUGAAGUCGGAAUCGCUAGUAAUCGUAGAUCAGAAUGCUACGGUGAAUACGUUCCCGGGCCUUGUACACACCGCCCGUCACACCAUGGGAGUGGGUUGCAAAAGAAGUAGGUAGCUUAACUUUCGGGAGGGCGCUUACCACUUUGUGAUUCAUGACUGGGGUGAAGUCGUAACAAGGUAAGCGUAGUGCU
rnacentral:rRNA from 1 species